CCUACGGGUGGCAGCAGUGAGGAAUAUUGGUCAAUGGACGAGAGUCUGAACCAGCCAAGUAGCGUGAAGGAUGACUGCCCUAUGGGUUGUAAACUUCUUUUAUAAAGGAAUAAAACGAGGCACGUGUGCCUUUUUGCAUGCACUUUAUGAAUAAGGAUCGGCUAACUCCGUGCCAGCAGCCGCGGUAAUACGGAGGAUCCGAGCGUUAUCCGGAUUUAUUGGGGUUAAAGGGAGCGUAGAUGGGUUGUUAAGUCAGUUGUGAAAGUUUGCGGCUCAACCGUAAAAGUGCAAUUGAAACUGGCAGUCUUGAGUACAGGUGAGGUAGGCGGAAUUCGUGGUGUAGCGGUGAAAUGCUUAGAUAUCACGAAGAACCCCGAUUGCGAAGGCAGCUUACUAGACUGUGACUGACAUUGAUGCUCGAAAGUGUGGGUAUCGAACAGGAUUAGAUACCCCUGUAGUC
rnacentral:rRNA from 1 species